rnacentral:rRNA from 1 species
GACGGAGGGUGCAAGCGUUGUUCGGAUUGACUGGGCGUAAAGGGCGUGUAGGCGGUUGGUCAAGUCCGAUGUGAAAGCCCGGGGCUCAGCUUCGGAAGUGCAUCGGAAACUAGCCAGCUGGAGCGCGAUAGAGGAGAGCGGAAUUCCUGGUGUAGCGGUGAAAUGCGUAGAUAUCAGGAGGAACACCGGCGGCGAAGGCGGCCCUCUGGAUCGUUGCUAACGCUGAGACGCGAAAGCGUGGGGAGCAAACAGG